rnacentral:rRNA from 1 species
GACGAACGCUGGCGGCGUGCUUAACACAUGCAAGUCGAACGAGUGGCGAACGGGUGAGUAAUACGUGAGUAACCUGCCCUCUUUUUGGGAUAAGCCUUGGAAACGGGGUCUAAUACCGGAUAAAGGGGGAGGGGCUGGCGGCGUAUAGGCUUGUUGGUGGGGUGAUGGCCUACCAAGGCGGUGACGGGGAGCCGGCCUGGGAGGGGGACCGGCCACCUGGGGACGGGGGUACGGCCCGGACUCUUACGGGAGGAGGCGGUGGGGGAUAUGGAACAAUGGGCGAAAGCCGGAUGCGGCGACGCCGCGUGGGGGGUGAAGGCUUUCGGGUUGAAAACCUCUUUCGCUAUCGAAAGGGUAGGUGGAGAAGAAGCGCCGGCUAACUACGUGCCAGCAGCCGCGGUAAUUC